rnacentral:SRP_RNA from 1 species
GCCAGGCGUGGUGGCGCCUGCCUGGAAUCCCAGCUACUUGGGCUGAUUCAGGAGAAUUGCUUGAACCCAGGAGGCAGAGGUUGCGGUGAGCUGAGAUUGCCAUUGCACGCCAGCCUGGGCAACAAGAGCGAAACUCCAUCUCAAAAGAAAAAAAAAAAAAGAAUUGUUCAUUCUCCCAGGAGUUGAGGAACAGCAGGUUACCUAAGGAGGGGUGAAGGGAGGUCUCCAGGUCAGAAAUGGAGCAGGUCAAAACUCCCAUGCUCAUCAGUAGUGUGAUUGUGCCUGUGAAUAACCACUGCUGUCCAGCAUUGGCAACAUAGUGAGACCCUAUCUCU